rnacentral:rRNA from 1 species
UACGUAGGGACCAAGCGUUGUCCGGAUUUAUUGGGCGUAAAGAGCUCGUAGGCGGCCCUCCACGUCGGAUGUGAAAGCUCAGGGCUCAACCCUGAGAUGCCAUUCGAUACGGGAAGGCUAGAGGUAGGUAGGGGAAAGUGGAAUUCCAGGUGUAGCGGUGAAAUGCGUAGAUAUCUGGAGGAACACCCGUGGCGAAGGCGGCUCUCUGGGACGGUACUGACGCUGAGACGCGAAAGCGUGGGGAGCGAACAGG